GCUCGCCCAGCGCAGCCCCCGCGCAGGUGGCGGGUCCCCCGCCCGCCCUCGUCGCCAGCUCCUUCGGGGGCUUCGUCCCCUCUCCCGAAGGCGAAUAGUCGGCCCGGCGAGAGCUUUGGCAGGAGCUGCAGGGCGCUGGGAUGGGAUGGGGGGCCGGGGGGCUGUGUGGGAACGGGGCGAGGCUGCUCGAACCCCGCUGGGUGUCUGCGGGCAGGGCCCGGCUGGGCUUGCAGCCCCUCCGCUGGCAGAUGGUUCAGACGCCGCUUUUAUUUUCUUAAUUCCCGAAAAAAACACCACCCUAUAGUUGAGGCAACUCCUCCCUUCAGUUUUCCGGGAGCGGCUGGGCCGUGGGGAUGUGCGGGGACCCACAGCACUGAUGCGGGGAUGGAGAGCCCGGCUGCCCAGCCCAGCCUGGAGAGCACCGGGCACCGAGGGGAACGCAGGAGAAACCGGCUGAGCACCGGGGGAGUGUGACCAGACCGGCCUGGCUCCGGCACCGUGCUGAAGGGAGAACAGAAAAUGAACUGCAGGAAGAGGGAAAAGCCGGUUGUGUGCUCAGCUGGCUGGAGCAGGGUUCUGUGCGCAGCACGGCCAGGGCAGGCUCCGGGAAGUGCCUGGGAUGGGCUGGACUGAGGAAAACGGAGUGGCAGGGGCUGCCUGCUGGCUGAGCAUCUGUCCUGAAGUGCGAGAUGCUCCUUUCAUCCAGAAGGGGAGAGAAAACCGUCCCCUGGGCUGUGUUGUGGCUGCAGGAACCUGAAGCACGCCUCUCCUCUUGGUCUCCUGAUCUUUGGAAGACGGUUCUUACUCUCCUUUAGAAAUGCAAUUUCAAAAUCGCUCAGUCUUUUGAUAUUUGAAGAGUUUGGGUUUCAGGUUUGGGGAUUUUUGCUCUGCUUUUUGCUCUGGAAUUUUUGCUCUGCUUUUUCUGUAUUACCAAAUUGUAUGUGUUUUCCACAGAAGAUUUACAAGCACAAACUGCUGCUGGUGCUGCUGUGGCCAGCAAGGAUCAGUGGGAGGAAAGGAUGUGCUGUCCACACGGCUUUGGGGCUCACCAGCUGUGCCCCCCUUCUGUGCCCCUUGGGGACAAAACUGAUAAAAUGAUUGCACUUGGAUCCCUUCAGGCUCUAGACCAGGGGUGUCAAGAUGGGAAAUUUUGGGGUGCUGCCUGUACUGAAAGGUUUGGGGGGCAUGGGGCAGGCAGGGGCUCUGCUCAGAGGUGCUGGGUUGGGGUCUGCAGGAUGGGAAGCCACAGAGCUGAUCCUUCUCAGGAAGAGAGAAGGAGCUUUCAGGACAUGAAAUUGGGUGCAAACAGGGGGAAGUGAGUGCCAGCUCACCAGUCAGGUAGUUUAGGGGAGAGCAAAGAGGGGUGUGCUCUGUCUGGGGACACCCUGGUCCUCAGCCCCUCCAUGGCCAGGUGACCUGGCAGCUCCCCCACACAGUCUAAACCUGAUAAGAGGUGACCUGCUGGGACUAACAAUAGGACUCUUCUUCCUUUUUUUAAACUUUCUUUUAAAAAGAUUGCCCAGAUGAAGUUAAACCCCAGAGUUCAGCAAGCCUGAAGGAAUCCCCAGGAGCAAGCCCUGCCCAUGGCUGCCAGCCCAUUGAAGGACACUCACAAACUCUCUUCAAACUCAAAGAGCAGCUUUUGACAAGCAUUCCAUCAAAACCUGGCUGGUGCUUGCUUGGCUCCUAAUCCUCCCUGAGCUGUUUCCCUGUUGCUAAUCUCUCCCAGGAACCAUUAAUAAAUCUUUCCUGGUUUGCAACGCUAAUUCUGGACAAAGGCACCAGGAACCAGCAGUGCCUGGGCCCGUGUCCCUGUUGUUUGCAUGCUCUGCAGGAAGAUUGUUUGGCUUUUAAUGAGGCUAAUUAAAAAGAAACAAAAAAAUAAUAAAUCAGUCCCAUUAAUCUGUAAUAAAUUGAAGUGCUACAAUCCUUCCCAGAGUGGUUGGGACUGCCAGCUCCCAACAGGCUGAGAUGCAAAAUCACUGUUAUUAUUAUUUAGAACAACUCAGUGGUUCUCCAUAAUGCCACAGUGAUGCUUCCCUGCUCAUCCACGGCUUGGAGUUCCUCUGGAGGAGGGGAUCCCACUGAAGCUUCUCCCACACACAUCCCUGGGCAUCUCCUGCUGUUCUGCUUUCUUGGCUCGUGGCUCUUCCUGCCCAGCCGGGGUCCCUGGGCUGCAGGCCACUGACAGCUCCAGCGGAACCAAAUUACCAUUUGGAAUUACCAUGAGAUAAUUGGCCUCAUUUACUAUUUAAAGAUGGGGGAAAAAAAAGCUCCUUCUUCCAGACAACUGCAGUGGAGAAAUGUUCAGGCACAGAUGAUGUCCCAAAACAUAUCAUUAAAGCUUUAAAUAAAUGUAUGAUGA